GACGAACGCUGGCGGCGUGCCUAAUACAUGCAAGUCGAACGGUUUAGUUCCAAGAGGCUUGCCUUUUGGAACUAGACAGUGGCGGACGGGUGAGUAACACGUAGGCAACCUACCUGUCAAACCGGGAUAACCUCGGGAAACCGAAGCUAAACCCGGAUAAGCUCCUUUUUCGCAUGAAGGGGGAGUGAAAAGGUGCGACCUGAUGACAGAUGGGCCUGCGGCGCAUUAGCUAGUAGGUAGGGUAACGGCCUCCCUAGGCGGUGAUGCGUAGCCGACCUGAGAGUGCGCAAGGCCACAAUGGGACUGCGGUACGGCCCACUCUCCUACGGGAGGCAGCAGUAGGGAAUCUUCGGGAAUGGGCGAAAGCCUGACCGAGCAACGCCGCGUGAGUGAGGCAGGCCUUCGGGUUGUAAAGCUCUGUUGUUUGGGAAGAAGGGAAAGGGUAGGACCCUUUGGUGACGGUACCAAACGAGAAAGCCCCGGCUAACUACGUG
rnacentral:rRNA from 1 species